CCCUGCCGCCCCUUCGACAACGCCUGGUGCGCCCGCGCGCCCGCCCAUGGCUGGGAAGGUGCUGUCGCUGCUGCCGCCGUUGCUGCUGGCCGCGGCGGGCCUCGCCGGGCUCCUACUGCUGUGCGUCCCCACUCGAGACAUCUGGGAGCUGCCCGCCCUCAAGUACGGCAUUGUCCUGGACGCGGGCUCUUCGCACACGUCCAUGUUCAUCUACAAGUGGCCUGCAGACAAGGAGAACGACACAGGCAUCGUGGGCCAGCACAGCUCCUGUAAUGUACGCGGAGGGGGCAUCUCCAGCUACGCAGACGACCCUUCCAGGGCUGGCCAGAGUCUCGUUGAAUGCCUGGACCAGGCGCUUCAGGAGGUGCCCAAGGAGAGCCACGUGCACACGCCCCUCUACCUGGGAGCCACGGCAGGCAUGCGCCUGCUCAACCUGACCAGUCCCGAGGCCUCGGCCAAUGUGCUCGCGGCUGUGACCCGGACGCUGACCCGGUAUCCCUUCGAUUUCCGUGGUGCCCACAUCCUCUCGGGCCAGGACGAGGGGGUGUUCGGUUGGGUGACGGCCAACUACCUGCUGGAGAACUUCAUCAAGUAUGGCUGGGUGGGCCGGUGGUUCCGGCCAAGGAAGGGGACGCUGGGGGCCAUGGACCUGGGGGGCGCCUCCACACAGAUCACCUUCGAGACGGCCAGCCCAGCCGAGGAUCCAGCCAAUGAGGUCCGGCUGCGGCUCUAUGGCCAGCACUACUGCGUCUACACCCACAGCUUCCUCUGCUAUGGCCGUGACCAGGUCCUCCGGAGGCUGCUGGCUGGUGCACUCCAGACCCACGGCUUCCACCCUUGCUGGCCAAGGGGCUAUUCUACCCAAGUGCUGCUUCAGGACGUGUAUGAGUCUCCGUGUACCGCGGCCCAGCGGCCCCAGACCUUCAACAGCAGCACCCGGGUGGGCCUGGCAGGGAGCAGCGACCCUGCCCUCUGCCGUGGCCUCAUCUUAGGACUCUUCAAUUUCUCCUCCUGCCGCUUCUCCCGAUGUUCCUUUAAUGGCAUCUUCCAGCCCCCAGUGGCGGGGAACUUCAUGGCCUUCUCUGCUUUCUUCUACACCGUGGACUUCCUAAGGUCUGUGAUGGGGCUUCCCGUGGCAACCCUGCAGCAGCUGGAGACAGCCGUAGUCGCCGUCUGCAACCAGACAUGGAGUCAGCUGCAGGCUAAGGCUCCAGGGCAGCGGGCCCGCCUGCCCGACUACUGCGCGGGGGCCAUGUUCGUGCAGCAGCUGCUGAGCCGCGGCUACGGCUUCGACGAGCGCGCCUUCGGAGGGGUGACCUUCCAGAGCAAGGCCGGGGACACCGCGGUCGGCUGGGCGCUCGGCUACAUGCUCAACCUGACCAACCUGAUCCCCGCCGAGCCGCCGGAGCUGCGCAAGGGCACAGACUUCGGGUCCUGGGUCGCGCUUCUCCUGCUCUUCGCCGCCAUGCUUCUGGCCGCCGUGGUUCUGCUGCUGCGCCAGGCGCGCUCGGCCGGGGCGUCGAGCGCCAUCUAGCGGCGGGCCGGAUCCCGGCCCCUCGUUCCACCCGUGACGCCUCCGCCCCCAACGCUGCUCCGGCCGAGACGGGGGCCGGGCCCACGGGGGACCGGGGUGGGCGAAGGGAGCCACCUCCGGCCCCUGCCUGCCUGCUGCAGCCUUCUCCAGCCUCCAAGCAUGGGAAGGCAUGGUCUUGCCUGUGUCUCCCUGCCCCCAGCCUUUCUAGAAAGUGAGUGCAGACACCAUUUCUGUCUGGUCAUUGCCCUGAGGGCAGCGCUUGCUCUGGGGUUUUGAGCCAUUUCACGAGCCCGAGGGCAGCCAGCCCUACCUUUGGGAUUGUGACGCAAAGGGCUGAGAAGACGCAUCGGGUGUGGAGGCUCACCCCUGUUCUCUCGGCAAGAUGCCGCUGUCUGUCCUGGGAGCCUGGACUGCGCCCUGAAGAGGCGGGCACGGUGCCCCCCGGGCGCGCACGUCUGUGGGCCCUGCCUUCAGCCCUUCCAGGAAGAUC